UCUAGCUACAGGCUUAACACAUGCAAGUCGAGGGGCAUCAGGAAGAAAGCUUGCUUUCUUUGCUGGCGACCGGCGCACGGGUGAGUAACACGUAUCCAACCUGCCCUUUACUCGGGGAUAGCCUUUCGAAAGAAAGAUUAAUACCCGAUAGCAUAAUGAUUCCGCAUGGUUUCAUUAUUAAAGGAUUCCGGUAAAGGAUGGGGAUGCGUUCCAUUAGGUUGUUGGUGAGGUAACGGCCCACCAAGCCUUCGAUGGAUAGGGGUUCUGAGAGGAAGGUCCCCCACAUUGGAACUGAGACACGGUCCAAACUCCUACGGGAGGCAGCAGUGAGGAAUAUUGGUCAAUGGGCGCUAGCCUGAACCAGCCAAGUAGCGUGAAGGAUGAAGGCUCUAUGGGUCGUAAACUUCUUUUAUAUAAGAAUAAAGUGCAGUAUGUAUACUGUUUUGUAUGUAUUAUAUGAAUAAGGAUCGGCUAACUCCGUGCCAGCAGCCGCGGUAAUACGGAGGAUCCGAGCGUUAUCCGGAUUUAUUGGGUUUAAAGGGAGCGUAGGUGGACUGGUAAGUCAGUUGUGAAAGUUUGCGGCUCAACCGUAAAAUUGCAGUUGAUACUGUCAGUCUUGAGUACAGUAGAGGUGGGCGGAAUUCGUGGUGUAGCGGUGAAAUGCUUAGAUAUCACGAAGAACUCCGAUUGCGAAGGCAGCUCACUGGACUGCAACUGACACUGAUGCUCGAAAGUGUGGGUAUCAAACAGGAUUAGAUACCCUGGUAGUCCACACAGUAAACGAUGAAUACUCGCUGUUUGCGAUAUACAGUAAGCGGCCAAGCGAAAGCAUUAAGUAUUCCACCUGGGAAGUACGCCGGCAACGGUGAAACUCAAAGGAAUUGACGGGGGCCCGCACAAGCGGAGGAACAUGUGGUUUAAUUCGAUGAUACGCGAGGAACCUUACCCGGGCUUAAAUUGCAGUGGAAUGAUGUGGAAACAUGUCAGUGAGCAAUCACCGCUGUGAAGGUGCUGCAUGGUUGUCGUCAGCUCGUGCCGUGAGGUGUCGGCUUAAGUGCCAUAACGAGCGCAACCCUUAUCUUUAGUUACUAACAGGUUAUGCUGAGGACUCUAGAGAGACUGCCGUCGUAAGAUGUGAGGAAGGUGGGGAUGACGUCAAAUCAGCACGGCCCUUACGUCCGGGGCUACACACGUGUUACAAUGGGGGGUACAGAAGGCAGCUAGCGGGUGACCGUAUGCUAAUCCCAAAAUCCUCUCUCAGUUCGGAUCGAAGUCUGCAACCCGACUUCGUGAAGCUGGAUUCGCUAGUAAUCGCGCAUCAGCCACGGCGCGGUGAAUACGUUCCCGGGCCUUGUACACACCGCCCGUCAAGCCAUGGGAGCCGGGGGUACCUGAAGUACGUAACCGCAAGGAUCGUCCUAGGGUAAAACUGGUGACUGG
rnacentral:rRNA from 1 species